AUGCUUACCUGGCAGGGGAGAUACUGUGAUCCUGAAGGUGAUUUUUUCCAGAGUGAGGCUUAUCCAUUGCACUCUGGGUGUGCUGACCCCCGCCAUCCCCCCAAAUGUGGGAAACUCGAUGGCAUAAUUUGUCGUAGUGGAGGCCCGUGGUUGGGCUUUCCCUAA
ensembl:snRNA U1 U1 spliceosomal RNA